rfam:Prunus persica cultivar Lovell chromosome G7, whole genome shotgun sequence.
GGAUAGCACUGUUUUGCUAUCCCCGACCAAUAACACAAUAACACGUGGAAAAGUUAUCAUACGUGUCAUUGCGUUAUUGGUCGGGAUAGCAAAAAGUGAUAUUC